GUCAUAUGCUUGUCUCAAAGAUUAAGCCAUGCAUGUCUCAGUACAAGCCAAAUUAAGGUGAAACCGCGAAAGGCUCAUUAAAUCAGUUAUGGUUCCUUAGAUCGUACCCACAAUUACUUGGAUAACUGUGGUAAUUCUAGAGCUAAUACAUGCAAACAGAGCUCCGACCGGAGACGGAAGGAGUGCUUUUAUUAGAUCAAAACUAAUCGGUAGCGGGUUCGCUCGUUAUUGUACGACUUGUUGACUCUGAAUAACUUUACGCUGAUCGCACGGUCGUCGCACCGGCGACGCAUCUUUCAAAUGUCUGCCUUAUCAACUGUCGAUGGUAGGUUCUGCGCCUACCAUGGUUGUAACGGGUAACGGGGAAUUAGGGUUCGAUUCCGGAGAGGGAGCCUGAGAAACGGCUACCACAUCCAAGGAAGGCAGCAGGCGCGCAAAUUACCCACUCCCGGCACGGGGAGGUAGUGACGAAAAAUAACGAUACGGGACUCAUCCGAGGCCCCGUAAUCGGAAUGAGUACACUCUAAACCCUUUAACGAGGAUCAAUUGGAGGGCAAGUCUGGUGCCAGCAGCCGCGG
rnacentral:rRNA from 1 species